UGUAAUUAUACUUAAUUAUAAUCAUUUGAUUAAGGCUUGUCUACCAUAAAAGAAUCCUAUUCCCUCUUUCAUUAAUAAGUAUUUGUGAGGGAACUAUUUUGAGGACGUAUAAAACCUUGUUUCUCAUCAAACCCUACUAGGCUCUGACACCCCGUAUCUCCCAUGCGUUAGUUCUCUCUCUCUCUCUUUCUCCUUCUCCCUCUGCCUCUCUCUCUUUCUCCUCCCUUUGGCUUCCUUGGCUUGUUUCUCAUUGAGUAAAGCACACCCUAAUUAGCUUCCUGAGGAUGCAUGGGAGGACAUAAUUUUAAGAUUUCACAUAUUUGUGUCUUCAUCCUUCCCUCCUCCUUGAGUUGCUAGUUUGACUAAUUACAGAAUUCUACAUUGGACAUUUUUCUUCAGAACUGUGAGUGUAUUCCUUGCCUGUCUUCCAGCUUCUAAUGUUGCUAUUGAGCAGUUGAUGUCAUUAUAAUUCCUAAAUAUUGUACUUUUUUUGCCUCUCUGAAAGUUACAUGUUCUUGUUUUUUAAUCUUUGAUGGGGUCGCCCCCCCCCCCCUUCAUUGUGCUGGAUUCUCUCUGGGCUGUUCAAUCUGGAAAAUCAUGCUCUUUGGUGAUGACAAUUGUUGUGGGUAUUCUUUCUUUUUUUAAGGUCUACAAACUUCUUUUUAAAAAACAUUUUAUCUGUUUGUUUAUUUUUUAGAGAGAGAGAGAGCAAGUGAGGGGAGGGUUGCAGAGGGAGGGGGAGAAUCUCAAGCAGACUCCAUGCUGAGCAGAGUCCAUUGUGGGGCUCAAUCCCACGAUUCUGAGAUCAUGAUCUGAGUUGAAAUCAAGAGUUGGACACUUAACUCACUGAGCCACCCAGGUGCCCUGUGGGAAUUCUUCCUUUGAAGAUUUCUUCCUCUUUGUAUUAUCUGUCUUCUACAGAAUUCCUGUUGUUGCAUGUUGACUUCUGCAUUGGUUUUCUGAUUUUCAUUCAUACCUUCUUCUCUUAGUUACCUCUUUGAUAUUUUAUCCUACUUUCUGGGAUAUUUUUUCACCUCUCCUCAUCCAACCAUUGGAUUUUUCAUUUUAGUUGAUACAUCAUUACUUUCUAGGACCUCAUUCUUGUUCUUUGGCUAUGCCUUAUUAUCUGUCACCCUAUUCUUGUUUUAUAGAUGUACUAUAUUCUCUUGGAGAAUUUUGCUAUAUAAAUUCUUGAUGUUUUCUUCUGCUCCCACACUUGUCUUUUUUUUCUUUUUUCUAUUUUUUUUUUUUUUUUGCCAUCUCAUGUUAGAAUGCUAGAAAAAAAGUGGCUAACAUGAUAUUAGAGGAUGAUGUCUUAUUUGAUAAAACAAAACAAAGCAAAAAAACAGAACAGAGGAAAACAUGGAGAACAAAAACAAAAGGGAGAGAUGCUGGUUUGUCCGCAUGUCAGAAAAGAACUCUGAUUGGAAGCCCUAUAGAUGUAGGUGGGACAUGUGGGUAGUGGGGCUUCAUUGUAGGGUGAUUGAGAGGUUAUCUGGUUUUCUCAUGGGGGGGGGUUCCAAUUGUUAAUACCUGUGUCUUUUCACUGGACCUAUUUAGUUUCUUCAGGGACAAAUCGUCCAGUUUCUUGCCUGGAGAAAAAAACACCUUUUAUCCAAUGUUCUGGGGAGUGAGAGGGAGUAAUAUGGCUGUCCAGCAUAGAUACUCACUUAAUUCUCAUAUUUUCCUUUCAGGUCCUACUCUUGCUUUCUUGUCAAUAUUUUCUCCUUGAGGUUAUCAUACAAAAUGCAACAGGAAUUUAAAGGAAAAAAAAAAAAAACUACCAAGGCUACUGAGAUUAUAGUUAGUUUGUGCACAGUAGAAAAACAGCAAAAUUUUUGGGCACCUGGGUGGCUCAGUCGGUUAUGCCUCUGCCUUUGGCUCAGGUCAUAAUCCCAGGAUCCUGGGCUCGAGCCCCGCAUCAGGCUCUCUGCUCAAUGGGGAGCUGCUUUUCCCUCUCCCUCUGCCUGCCUCUCUGCCUAUUUGUAAUCUCUCUCUGUCAAAUAAAUAAAUAAAAUCUUAAAAAAAAAAGAAAAACAGCAAAUAUUUCACAUGAUUCUCACAUCCACAAGGAUCCUGACCAGUUUCCAAACAGCAGCAUCACAAAAGUCUGGGAUCAAGUUAUUUCUUCUUGGCAGUUAGUACCUUACAGGGAAGUCACAAGGUUCCCUUGAUUUUGCUGACCCUGCUUUAGUUUGUUUGUCUCAGAUCUGAGGUGCUUUUCUCCUCACGGCCUGAGAUGUCCAUGAUUACCCAUAAAUGAGAUGUUGUUUUGUUUCUACAGUUCCACCUAGUGGUCAAGUUUCUGGCCCUAAGGCACACAGUUAACCACAUGGGUUUGUUUUUAUGAUAUUUUCAUUUCCAUAUUCAUUAACUUGAUAUUUUCUUUAUUUGAUUUGUAGUUUUAUUUACACAGGUGUAAAACAAGGUGAAGAAGAAGAAAAAGAAGCAGCACUCCUUGCGUGUGGUUAACAAAAUUGGAGUCCUAGAUACUAAGACCUAAGAGUUAACUAUUGUCUGGAUGCUCUGUAAAUCUCCUACUCAUAUCUGUCUAAAUAAUUUAUUAUUGUCAGCUCAUCUACUGAGAACAGGAUCCAAGAACCCACCGUGCAUCUCGACAUGGUUUUGCCUGUAGUGCCUAUAUCUGCAAGAAGAUCCUUCUCAGAAAUACAUCAUGUCUGAGAUCUUGCUGGGGAGCAAGUCAGCCUCAAGGCAACUAGUGUUUCAUGGUCUGGAGACCGCUUUUCCGUGCAACUCAACUUAUGUGGACAUACACACUUUGGUAACUUGUAACUUUGGAUGGGAACAAAUGGGCUUGGGUGUACCCUCUUAGAUCUCACCCUGCUCAUAAAUGGAGGAGCUUUGGUGCCUACCAGAUGGGGAUCUAGUGGAAGAACAUAUCCUUGGACACAAGGUUACAUUUUUAGUUCACCUAUGAAGUUAGAAUCACAAGGGACCCUCUCCAGGCAUUUGCCUGGGACCAGCCAAGCCCUUGAUUACUCAUUUGCAGCCUCUGUGUUGUCCCCCUGUCCUGUCCAGUGGACUAUCCUACACUCCCAUAAGUCUUACUCCCGUAAGACUUGCUCUGAUAAAAUGUUAGGGUAAAUGUAGAAAUAAAACCAUGCUUCAAGCGUGGCCUUUUGCAACAAUACUAGUGUUUUGACCAGGGGCAAGUCCAAAGGAAGGAAGCUCUAAUUGCAAAAUUUGGGACACUGAUUUUGUUGCUUACAAGGACCCAAGGGGACACUUGUUGCAAUUCUGAGCCACUUGCUGAAUCUGACAAUCGAGAUUGCUGUAUUUGGAGAGAUGGUCUAAAAUCAUUCCUGGCUUUAGAAAUAGGAAUAGCUGAAAGAGUGCAUGCAGAACCCUCUUACACAUGACCCCGGCUGAAGAAACAAACAGCCAACUACGCACUCACAUUUAUUUAAAUCUCUGAACAGAGUUGUUCUCUGCUGAGUUAUAAUGAGGAGUGAGCUUUCCGAGGGUGUGAUUUAUGAGCCUUCCACAAUGGGUUUUAAAUGGGGGCACUGACAGUUUCACUCCAGCGAGGGCUGGGGGAGCCCUUCGGCCCGGAGGAGCUGAAGUGAGCUGGUGGGAGACAGAGGGGAGGCCGGCGGGGCUGGAUCGGGUCACCGCGAGCCAGGGGCAUGGAGCCAGCCCCCAGCUCCUCCGUCCCUGAGCUCGCUCACUCAGCAACACUGGAUUGUUCGUUUUUGUUUCUCUCAAGAAAGAAAUAACACACGUUGACGUGAAGAUUGAAGGUGGACUCUCUCUUGUGCCACAGACGGUCCCAGCGAUGGAAACAUGAACACUUUUCCCCGCCCACGCUUCUCUCUCUGUAGAACUGUCUGGUGGGUGAAGUUUGCAUUUUGCGUGAUUUUUCUUUUCUUUUCCUUUCUCUGUGGUGCAUUCCAGCCAGGAGAGUGACGAGGGCACCGUUGGUUGUGAAAUGGUGCCCUGGAGGUAUGUCCACGUCCUAAUCCCCGGAACCCGCGAACGUGACCUUGUUUGGAAAAAGGACUUUGCAGGUGUGAUCAAGUUCAGGAGCCUGAGGAUGAAGAAUGGGUCCAGCUCGUGCAGAUGUAAGCCGUGUGUAUAUGGUUGAACUGUGGGACCCCUCCUGGGGUCUCAGGUUUGAUCCACAAAGCCAGACAUGAGGGGAUGGCCUCUUGGUUCAGAUAAAACACUGCAGGCCGCAGAAUGCAAGCGGAGGGCAAGAGAGAAGGUGGACCCUGCAUUCAGCUCUGAAUGGGACCCUGGAUGUUCCCUCUCCAUCCCAGUUGGAGACUGGAAAUGAAGACUAUUUGUACAUUGGCUGCCAAAUAACAUGGAACUGUGCAAAACCAGUGAUAGUCAAACUAUUUUUGACUACAACGCUGGUAAGUUUCAGAGUCUUCAACCUAAUACAAAGCUGCUACAGAGCUUCAAGGCCUUUGCAUUUAUCUUCAAACUGCACAAUACCCGGAAAUGAAUUUUGAGAACAGUGCAAUGCUACAUAUCUAAGUGACCUAAUCUCAUGACUCUCAUGACGUAAUCACCUCCCAAAGACUCUACCUCCAAAUACCAACACAUUGAGGACCAGGGCUUCACCAUCUGAAUUUCGAGAGGAUGCAAACAUUCACUCUGCUGCACAUGCCAACCAGGGGUUUAAUGAAAUCCGCUGAAUGGCCUUAUUGAAAAUCUCAGCCUCUUUCUCUUCUAUCUCAACCUAGAAGCCUUUUCCCUUUUUCUUCAACUUGUGCAUCUUUUUAAGAAUUGGUCUUGGUUCCCUAGAAAACAGAGCCUGAGGCAAGGAUUAAGUACUAAUGCUUUAUUUACAAGCUACAGUCUCAGGGCUGUGAGAGUGAGGGAAAGGGGAACUGAGAAGCAGUGCAGAGAGCCAUGAAGACAGAACAAUUGCUUGACAGGUAUACUCGUGAGCUCCACGGAUGUCACUGUGUCUAAGAGUAGUCUGCUGGAGGGAAAAAGGGAGAAAACAUUUAUCUCCCUGGCUUCCUCUGCUCUCCUGCUUCCCUUGGUCCACAUCGACCCCAUGGCGAAUUAACUUCACUGUUCAAUCAAGUGUCUCUUCCAGCUCCUUCCCAGCCAGGCAGAAGUCAGACCCUAUGCCCUGCAGUGAGGAUUUCAUCCUAUUUCAGUGAGUCCGCAAGGGUCAGGAGGAGCCAGAGACACUGGGUAUGGAGCUGCCUGGCAUCAAGCAAUAGAACCUCUUGGGCCCAGUGGAGUUUGUCUGCCUCUGAGGCCAAGCAAACAGCCAAGGGGUCAGGAGGCAGGUGAGGCUGAGAAUCAGAGAGGCAUAUUAGGUGAGCUCAUUCACAUGUUGAUGAAUAAAUAAUCAUUAAUGCCUCCUUGGCUUAGGGCCUAUGAGGAAAAAUCAUGCCACAGGCAUUAAUUACACAUGUAAUCUGGGGGAUCCCAGCCUGGCAUAAGAUAUACACCCAAUAACACCAAUAAAAUGCCAUGGGAUCCAGGUGAAGGGGAACAUUUGUUUAAAAGAAAUGUCAACAUUCACAAGUUUACAAAUGCUUAUUAGCUUUACAAGUUUGAAGGUUUUGCUACUGGAACUAUCAAGGUGUUAUUUAACGGGGUUUUAAAUAACAGAAAAAAAUCUCUAGUUUUUACUUCCUCGGUCACUGUUCCCACAGAGAUUUGCUGAGAAUUACAAUGGCCAUGCAGGGUGUUUUAUUCAGGACUCACCGUGGCCGGGUGGAGCAGGUUUACGAUCCCUGCUGCAUACAGGUUAGAGUAAUUUGCUCAAGACUGUGCAGCUUUCAGGCAAGAAAGGAUUCUUUUCCAUGUUUCUGAUUUCAAGUUCAUUUGCUGUGUACGAUCUGAGGAAGCGGACAAGGGUACAGUGAAGGCCCACCUGACAAUCAAUUUUCGAGGAUAUAUUGAGAGAGGGGUCCAUGACUCAAGCAUCUCUAGCUGGGAGCCCCGGUGCUGAUGAGCUCUGGGACACUGGUGAUCUGACGAAUAGAUGGUUUACAAGCUAAACUGAGGGGCGCCUGGGUGGCUCAGUGGUUUAAAGCCUCUGCCUUAGCUCAGGUCAUGAUCCCAGGAUCCUGGGAUCGAGCCCCGCAUCUGGCUCUCUGCUCUGCGGGGAGCCUGCUUCCUCCUCUCUCUCUCUGCCUGUUUCUCUGCCUACU